AGAGUUUGAUCCUGGCUCAGGAUGAACGCUAGCUACAGGCUUAACACAUGCAAGUCGAGGGGAAACGACAUCGAAAGCUUGCUUUUGAUGGGCGUCGACCGGCACACGGGUGAGUAACGCGUAUCCAACCUGCCCACCACUUGGGGAUAACCUUGCGAAAGUAAGACUAAUACCCAAUGACGUCUCUAGAAGACAUCUGAAAGGGAUUAAAGAUUUAUCGGUGAUGGAUGGGGAUGCGUCUGAUUAGCUUGUUGGCGGGGUAACGGCCCACAAGGCUACGAUCAGUAGGGGUUCUGAGAGGAAGGUCCCCCANAUUGGAACUGAGACACGGUCCAAACUCCGUACGGGAGCA
rnacentral:rRNA from 1 species